rnacentral:pre_miRNA from 1 species
UUAAUAUUUCCUCCGUCCGGAAAUACUUGUCAUCAAAAUGAAUAAAAGGGGAUGUAUCUAGAUGUAUUUUAGUUCUAGAUACAUCCCUUUUUAUCCAUUUUGAUGACAAGUAUUUUCGGACGGAAGGAGUAGAUA